rnacentral:SRP_RNA from 1 species
GCCGGGCCUGGGGGCGUGUGCCUGUAGUCCCAGCUACUCAGGAGGCUGAGGUGGGAGGAUCGCUUGAGCCCAGGAGUUCUGGGCUGUAGUGUGCUAUGCCAAUCGGGUGUCCGCACUAAGUUCGGCAUCAAUAUGGCGACCUCCCGGGAGCGGGGGACCACCAGGUUGCCUAAGGAGGGGUGAACUGGCCCAGGUCGGAAACAGAGCUGGUCAAAAUUCCCAUGCUGAUCAGUAGUGGGAUCACACCUGUGAAUAGCCACUGCACUCCAGCCUGGGCAACAUAGUGAGAUCCUGGCUCU